AGAUUGAACGCUGGCGGCAUGCCUAACACAUGCAAGUCGAACGGGAGUAGCAAUACUCUAGUGGCGGACGGGUGAGGAAUACGUAGGAAUUUGCCCUUAAGUGGGGGAUAACCCGGGGAAACCCGGAUUAAUACCGCAUGACCUCGAAAGAGCAAAGUGGGGGAUCGCAAGACCUCACGCUUUUGGAGAAGCCUACGUCGGAUUAGCUAGUUGGUGAGGUAAUGGCUCACCAAGGCGACGAUCCGUAACUGGUCUGAGAGGAUGAUCAGUCACACCGGAACUGAGACACGGUCCGGACUCCUACGGGAGGCAGCAGUGGGGAAUAUUGGACAAUGGGCGCAAGCCUGAUCCAAGCAAAGUG
rnacentral:rRNA from 1 species